rnacentral:rRNA from 1 species
CCUACGGGCGGCAGCAGUGGGGAAUAUUGGGCAAUGGGCGCAAGCCUGACCCAGCAACGCCGCGUGAAGGAAGAAGGCUUUCGGGUUGUAAACUUCUUUUGUCAGGGAAGAGUAGAAGACGGUACCUGACGAAUAAGCCACGGCUAACUACGUGCCAGCAGCCGCGGUAAUACGUAGGUGGCAAGCGUUGUCCGGAUUUACUGGGUGUAAAGGGCGUGUAGCCGGGUUGACAAGUCAGAUGUGAAAUCCUGCGGCUUAACCGCAGAACUGCAUUUGAAACUGUUGAUCUUGAGUACUGGAGAGGCAGAUGGAAUUCCUAGUGUAGCGGUGAAAUGCGUAGAUAUUAGGAGGAACACUAGUGGCGAAGGCGGUCUGCUGGACAGCAACUGACGCUGAGGCUCGAAAGCGUGGGGAGCAAACAGGAUUAGAUACCCGAGUAUC